AUUCAUCCAUGGGUGGGGAUUUGUUGCAUUACUUGUAUUAUUCAUAAAGUAUUGCACUUGUCCCGGCCUGUGGAAGAAAA
rnacentral:pre_miRNA from 1 species